UUUUAUGUAUAUAGAUUACGCUUACGCACUCACGAAAGGUAUAAUAUGGAACUAGUCUAUCAAAGUAGCUCGUCUAUUUAAACAAAGUCAAAUUU